GGCGGAAAGCUCGCUCAAUUGAGUGAAAAUCAAACAAAAUGAAACUGCAGGCCGAGCUGAUCCCAUUCGAAAGUUUAAUUAUAUUUUGCGCCACCGACACUAGUUGCUAUGCUGUUAUUUUAUUUAUUUCGUUUUUUUUUUUGUCUGUUUUUCGCUUUUUCGAAACCGGCAAAGCGAGCAAACUUCGAUCAGAAGACAACAAUAAACACACACACACUCACACAGAUGGCGUUGAGUACUUUGUUUGUGGCCUGCUAACGGCACAAUUACGUCAGAAAAAUAAGCUUUUUCGGUUUUCUGGCAGCUCCCAAGAACUUAAUUAAUUAAAAUUUAAACUAUCGCAAAAGUGCCUUAUUUAAAAACGAAUAGAAAAACUAAAAAAACCUGCCUUUUUUGUUUCAGCUCGAGCACUUAAUUGCUUUUUGUUGCCUUUGCUCUUUCUUCGUUUGGUCAACGUUUUGCUCGACUUUAUUUAUUUUUAGAAAUAAACAACUUAUUUUUACUCGCAUCUCUCGCUAUUUGUUCUGCUCUUCAAUUAAUUGUUUAUUUUCGUUCAAUCACUUAAGAUCAUGUGUACGACAGGCAUGUGGGCUAAAAAUUUGGAGGAAACGAUUGCCAAGUUAAACCGAUCAAUAAAUGCCAAAACGUGAUUAAACAACGCAUUCUAUAAACAGAAAACUAGUCCAGAACAAAAAAAUAUAAUUAUAAUAAAUGCUAAUGCGCCUUAUGAUUAACAAAUAAACGAUUUCGGGUUCCUUUUCAUUUACAAAGUUUGCCCUUUUUAUUACCCUAAUUUUUUGUAACGUAACAAACUGUAUAGUAUUAUAUAUUUUACAAAAUAUAUUACGCAUACGCAGUGAGACGAACAUAUGGAAAAUUUUAUACAAACUUUCAAAUCAAUUAAGAAUUAAUGAGCGGCAUUUCGCUGCUAAACGUAUGAAUUCAAAUGGAUUUAAACUGUGUUUUAAAUGUUUUGACAACGCAUACAAUACGAUAAUGAUCUUGGCUGCCAAAUGCUGCACAAUCUCGUUUCGGAUGUGAAAUGCUGUUGGUGAUACUUUUGCUAUCAGCUAUCAGCAAAAGCUGCUGCAUUAUUGGGAGUAGGAAAUAUAACCCUAGGGGUAGAGUACCAGGACUUAUGGGCUUCGCUUAUCUAUCGCACGUCUGCUCCUGACAACGUCAAACAAAAAGAAGCAAUUUCCAAUGUCGCUGCUGCUGCUGCUGCUGCUGCUGCUGCUGUUUUGGCCCUGCUAAUUGCAAUUAGUGGCCGAUGACGUCGAGGGGUUGACAGACACGUGCCAAAGCACCCUUUCUGCCUUAAAGUGCCUGUUUCUUGUUUCGCUAUCUCAAACAUAUGCAUUUGCCUGCAUUUCUUCCAUUGCCUGCAUCUAGUUUGUUUGUUUGUUGGCUCGUGUAAAAAUAGUUUAAAGCCCUACAAAACAAACCUAAACCACGACAACGAAAUAUAAUGGUUAGUACGUUAGAUAGUAGAUCGCGGGCGAAGAGCUCGAAUUCGUGGCUCAAACAUGUGACUAUGCCCAAUAAUUAAUUUACAAAUUACGUUCUAAACUAAAAGUCCGAACCUAAGGUACCCCAGCCACAGCAGCAGCAACAACAAAAAGCAAUCUUGUCUGCAGAAAAGACCUUGCUUUCGAUUUUCAAAAUGUGUUUACUACACUCUGAGGCGAACACACACACACACAGCGCCUCGACGCAAAACAAGAAACGUUUAAAUUGCUAUUUUAUUCACUGAAAUCCGCGACGCGGAAUACCAAACGAACAAGAAUAAAUAAAAUAUUGAUAUCGAAAGAAACUCGAACUGAGUGCAGACUAUUGUAUUUUGUAAUUAAUAUUUCAAAUUAGCAUAAGUUUGAACCCAACCAAAAAACCGGCAGAGCAAUUUACCAAAAAGAGUUACUAAGUGUUCUGCAAUAUCUUCAUGAUUAAUUGGUAUUAAAAAUAAAUCAACUUGUGGCAGUUACAAUAAAUCAAAAUUAAUUUACACUAAUUAAAUUGAAAAUCGAUUUGAAAAGGGUACACAAAAAUAAAAACGCCAAACUGGGAUUACUUUCUCAUUAAAAAAUGUUUUGGCAAUUAAAGUUAAUUAUCAAAUCAGUGGUAAAUUGUUUCUGAGCGAAACCAAGUGAAUUGAAAUAAAAUGCGAAAAUAUUUUGCAAACUUCAUCUGGGCAAUAGGCGGUUCGCUUUUUCAUUCCACCUGCUGCCAACCUGGAUUUAGUGGACCCAAAUUGUUCCUACUUCUGCAGCUUUUCGGUCGGAAUGGGCUGACUUUUGAGUGUGAUAGCCAAGAAAGAUAUGUUCGAUUGUUUUUGGUAAGACCGCAGAAAAGACAAUAUCAGCAAGAGCAAAGACAAAUAAAAGUAGUAUAAAAAACCAAAGGCAAAGGCAGCCGAUAGGCAACAACAAGUUCUGGCUGGAACUUGUUGACGACUUCACUUUUGCUCGGCUGUCCAAAAAGUGUUUUGCCUUAAAUUUGUGUGUGUAUCUGUGGGCCAGGCCAGUAGUGCCAGGUUAAUACAGAUAGAUAUAUAAAAGACACCUUUCAAGACUGGUUUAGUUUGCCCAGCUCACUUUGAGCAUUGCUGCUUCUGUUACACUUACUGUCCCCCACUAGCCUCACCCCCUCCUCCAACUGCCCCUCCAGCGACUCUACUCUAAUGCAAUCAAAUCGGCCUUUGAGUGCCUGUGUGUGUGUGUUAGCAGUAUUGGGUGUUGGCCAGCAGCUGUUGCCAGUUGUUGCUGUUUGCUGUUUGCCGUUUGUUGUUUGUGUUCUUUAGUCGCUUUGCAAAAAAUGUCGUUUGAUUAUGGCUGGACGAGAGAAUGCAAAGUGAAUUGUUGAAAUAUUGAAUUAAGACCAAAGUCUGUGUCGCAGAAUCGCACGCUCACUGCCAAUUUAUUUAUCUAUCCAUCAACUCUGGCCGCAUGGUUAACCCACUUUCAGGGCCACUUUUUACCUUAUCUGCUUGCUAGCUAUUUUGCCAGCAUUUCAGUUGCUUAUUGCAUUCGCUUUUAUGCAAGAAUUUUAAAUUGCAGGCGCAACAGCACAGCACAGCCAAACAAAAAGUGAAAGUCAUCCAGCAACGAGCACAAACCUCCAAGCUUGAAUAUUACGUAUACGCAGUGUUGAUCAGCGUUGAAAGCGCAACAGGCUGAAGAGGCAGAAGAUUGGCCAGGCCAGAAAGCCACCGAGUUGGCAUCCUGGAUGCCGGCCACGUUCUUGCCGCCGGCGGAUUGCAGAUUAACGAUCUCCUCAUCCCCACACGCCCACGCAGAAACGACCUUAAUUGUGUCCGUGUCGGAGUUUCUGAAAGUGUGUGUUUGUUUUUCUCUCUUUUUUUUUGUUUUUAUGUUCUUUAUUGCAGCACGUCAAGAAACGACUCCAAGGGCAGUCGCAGUAAUAGCAGCAGCAGCAGCAGCAAUGCAACGCAUGCACUCCACAUAAAUUGCAUAUAGUCAAGUCUCGAUGGAAGGACCAACGAAAUGGAGCAUAACUCUGUCUUCUAAAAGCGAGACGUUCCUUAAAUAAAGUAUUAUAUUCUUAUUAUAUUAUGAUAUUAUAUUUGUUCUGUUUCCGCGACUCUGGAUGUUUAGCCUUUGACACAAUUUCCCUACCAAAAAUUUGCUUCCACUAAAAAAAAAAUAAUUAAUCAUUAGCCCAAAAUAAAUGAAACUUAUUUGAAAUGUACGAUUCACAUAAGAAUUUGAUCUCUGCCCUGUUGCUCCGCAUAGAGUGCCCACCGUGGCAACGCUCACUUUGCAGACACGGACACAUUAGAAUGGCCUGAGGCUGGAACUGGUUGCAGCAGCUGUGUCCUAACACUCUUCAGUCGUCGGGUAACCGAGUAAAUGCGUCCCCAAGUCACCAAGUCGCGAGUAAGCAACAACGCCUCCAUUGAGGCAACAGCCUCCGCUAACGAGCUCGUGCAGCUCUGCGGCUCUGCGGCUCCGUCUCUGAUUUAAACUCCAAUCGCUAAAGCAACUGCCACUGCAACUGCAACGACGGUACAACAACGCACAAGAAUUGCCAUGAACCAAUUUGAUAAUACAAAGCACCCCCGGCCACAGCACUCACACACACGCACAACAAUUAUUAUUAUUCGGUUUGCCAUUUUUUUUUAGACGUUUUCGGUUUGAAAUUGAAAGUUGUCUGGUCGUCGCCGGUAGCGAGUGAAGCGUGAAACGGCGACACAUUGCUAGCACCUAAGCCCCAAGGAUGAUAUCCUGUCGCCCGGAUGUCGCCAAUGAGCCGAGGACACCAUAAGGGCAGGAUGAACGGCAUGGUCAGGGAUUGGAUGGUUAAAUCUCGCCCGCUUUCGUUGGCUUACUUCCCAUGAAACAUUAUAAUUGUGUUCCAAAAUUGGGGUACACUUGAAACAUCCGUUUUGAAUAAAAUACGAGGAAGAAAAGACAAAA